AGUAGGAGGUUUGUGGACGGGAGGUGGGGAUUGAACAGGUGGUGGCGGGUAAGCAGGAGGUGGCGAUUGAAUAGGUGGUGGUUGGUAAGCAGGAGGUGGGGAUUGAACCGGGGGUGGCUGGUAAGCAGGAGGUGGGGAUUGAACCAGGGGUGGCUGAUAAGCAGGAGGUUUGUGGAUAGGAGGUGGGGAUUGAACAGGUGGUGGCUGGUAAGCAGGAGGUGGGGAUUGAACAGGUGGUGUCUGGUAAGCUGGAGGUUUGUGGACAGGAUGUGGGGAUUGAACAGGGGAUGGAUGGUAAGUAGGAGGCUUGUGGACAGGAGGUGGUUGAUAAGUAGGAGGCUUGUGGACAGGAGGUGGCUGGUAAGUAGGAGGCGGGGAUUGAACGGGUGGAGGUUUGUGAACAGGAGGAGGGGAUUGAAUAGGUGGUGGCCAGUAAGCAGGAGGUUUGUGAACAGGAGGUGGGGAUUGAAUAGGGGGUGGUUUAUAAGUAGGAGGUUUGUGGACAGGAGGUGGAGAUUGAACAGGUGGAGGUUUGUGGACAGGAGGUGGGGAUUGAAUAG
rnacentral:lncRNA from 1 species